rnacentral:rRNA from 2 species
GGAUGAACGCUGGCGGCGUGCCUAAUACAUGCAAGUCGAACGAGUUCUCGUUGAUGAUCGGUGCUUGCACCGAGAUUCAACAUGGAACGAGUGGCGGACGGGUGAGUAACACGUGGGUAACCUGCCCUUAAGUGGGGGAUAACAUUUGGAAACAGAUGCUAAUACCGCAUAGAUCCAAGAACCGCAUGGUUCUUGGCUGAAAGAUGGCGUAAGCUAUCGCUUUUGGAUGGACCCGCGGCGUAUUAGCUAGUUGGUGAGGUAAUGGCUCACCAAGGCGAUGAUACGUAGCCGAACUGAGAGGUUGAUCGGCCACAUUGGGACUGAGACACGGCCCAAACUCCUACGGGAGGCAGCAGUAGGGAAUCUUCCACAAUGGACGCAAGUCUGAUGGAGCAACGCCGCGUGAGUGAAGAAGGCUUUCGGGUCGUAAAACUCUGUUGUUGGAGAAGAAUGGUCGGCAGAGUAACUGUUGUCGGCGUGACGGUAUCCAACCAGAAAGCCACGGCUAACUACGUGCCAGCAGCCGCGGUAAUACGUAGGUGGCAAGCGUUAUCCGGAUUUAUUGGGCGUAAAGCGAGCGCAGGCGGUUUUUUAAGUCUGAUGUGAAAGCCCUCGGCUUAACCGAGGAAGCGCAUCGGAAACUGGGAAACUUGAGUGCAGAAGAGGACAGUGGAACUCCAUGUGUAGCGGUGAAAUGCGUAGAUAUAUGGAAGAACACCAGUGGCGAAGGCGGCUGUCUGGUCUGUAACUGACGCUGAGGCUCGAAAGCAUGGGUAGCGAACAGGAUUAGAUACCCUGGUAGUCCAUGCCGUAAACGAUGAAUGCUAGGUGUUGGAGGGUUUCCGCCCUUCAGUGCCGCAGCUAACGCAUUAAGCAUUCCGCCUGGGGAGUACGACCGCAAGGUUGAAACUCAAAGGAAUUGACGGGGGCCCGCACAAGCGGUGGAGCAUGUGGUUUAAUUCGAAGCAACGCGAAGAACCUUACCAGGUCUUGACAUCUUUUGAUCACCUGAGAGAUCAGGUUUCCCCUUCGGGGGCAAAAUGACAGGUGGUGCAUGGUUGUCGUCAGCUCGUGUCGUGAGAUGUUGGGUUAAGUCCCGCAACGAGCGCAACCCUUAUGACUAGUUGCCAGCAUUUAGUUGGGCACUCUAGUAAGACUGCCGGUGACAAACCGGAGGAAGGUGGGGAUGACGUCAAAUCAUCAUGCCCCUUAUGACCUGGGCUACACACGUGCUACAAUGGAUGGUACAACGAGUUGCGAGACCGCGAGGUCAAGCUAAUCUCUUAAAGCCAUUCUCAGUUCGGACUGUAGGCUGCAACUCGCCUACACGAAGUCGGAAUCGCUAGUAAUCGCGGAUCAGCACGCCGCGGUGAAUACGUUCCCGGGCCUUGUACACACCGCCCGUCACACCAUGAGAGUUUGUAACACCCGAAGCCGGUGGCGUAACCCUUUUAGGGAGCGAGCCGUCUAAGGUGGGACAAAUGAUUAGGGUGAA